AUGGAGCUCAACAGAACACAGUUGUUUUCUGCCUUCGCCCUGGCCUUGCUCCUCAUGUCCCACAGUGUGGAGGCGAUUCAUCCCCGUCCCCGGAUAUGCCAUUCCCCAAGCCAUCUUUAUCAUGGCCCAUGCAACAAUAGGAAAUGCGUGGAGGUGUGCCACCACGAGCACUUCACCGGCGGCUACUGCUCACGUAAAGUGGUUGUCCGUGACCUGAUGGAUGAGAACCUUAUUAGAAGAAAAAGAAAACCUUACUGUGAAUGUACCAUAAGGUGCGACCAUAGUCCUCCACCACCAUCGGAAGUGCCUGAGCCGCCGCCAUCCCAAGGGCCACCACCACCAAAUGUCAUGCCGGCGGGAAAAGUCUCUGGAGGCACGAACCAUUGA
rnacentral:rRNA from 1 species